CUGACCUAACGGCUCUCUCUUUCCUUGCUUUCUGUGUCCAGUAGGAAACAUUUGUGGUUUCGUUAACACCCUGUCAGAACUUCAAGAGGCUCUAAAGGGAGCAUGGGCAAUGCACUGCCAUGGAGGGGGAGGCUCAGGCACACUCUUUGUCUUCUCAGUGCCUUCCCACCCCUGGAAGGAACAGGCUGUCCCCUGAUAAUAGCUGGGCUGGUGAGACCAUGCCGUGUCCAUGAGCGUCACUGGUGGGGCAGUGUGUUCUGGAAGAGGUGGGCGGGGAUGCCCAAAAAGGGGAGGGAGGCCACUGAGAAGAGGAAGGACAGCAGGUGGGGAGCUGGACAACAUCCUUUGCUAUGGCAUGUCUGAUAAGAUGCGACCAGCAGACUCCUGGCAAUAGACUGACAGAUGUUUGUGCUUCCUCUUUAUCUAAUGCAAAGCAGGAUGUUCUUGGUUUGGAAGACAGCCCUGGAAAACAUAGGGAUUCUGGUUCAGUGAAGGAGAUGAACCUUAUCUUUUCCACCUGGAGCCUGCCCAUUCCUAACAUCCAGUACUGUAAUCCUUCACUUGAAUUUCGAUGGACAGGAUCUCACCAGCUGGGGAAUUCCCUGGGGAUUUUUUUUUCCCCAGCAUGCUCUGAGACUUAGUGCUCUCAGCGAGCAGUGUGGUGAAUGCUGGUUGUAAACCACAAGGGUUAAGUGGCAUGUCAGAUCAUGGGCGGUGAGAAGCCGCUGCAUGUGUGUGGUCUCCCUGAUUCACACU